ACGAACGCUGGCGGCGUGCCUAACACAUGCAAGUCGAACGGAGCUAGAAAGCUUGCUUUUAGCUUAGUGGCGGACGGGUGAGUAAUGCGUGAGCAACCUGCCUGUCAUGGGGGAUAACUUCCGGAAACGGACGCUAAUACCGCAUAUUGUACAUAAUCCGCAUGGAUAAGUGUAUGAAAGGAGCAAUCCGCUGAUAGAUGGGCUCACGUCCGAUUAGUUUGUUGGUGGGGUAAUGGCCUACCAAGACUACGAUCGGUAGCCGGGCUGAGAGGCUGAACGGCCACAUUGGGACUGAGACACGGCCCAGACUCCUACGGGAGGCAGCAGUGGGGGAUAUUGCACAAUGGGGGAAACCCUGAAUGCAGCAACGCCGCGUGAGGGAUGAAGGUUUUCGGAUUGUAAACCUCUGUCCUUAGUGAAGAAAAAGAUGACGGUAACUAAGGAGGAAGCUCCGGCUAACUACGUGCCAGCCGCAGC
rnacentral:rRNA from 1 species